CACGGGGGGAGCAAGCGUUGUUCGGAUUCACUGGGCGUAAAGGGCGUGUAGGCGGAUGGGUUAGUCAGAUGUGAAAUCCCAGAGCUCAACUCUGGGCCUGCAUUUGAUACUGCCCGUCUAGAGUAUGGGAGAGGAGAUCGGAAUUCCUGGUGUAGCGGUGAAAUGCGUAGAUAUCAGGAAGAACACCGGUGGCGAAGGCGGAUCUCUGGCCUAAUACUGACGCUGAGGCGCGAAAGCUGGGGGAGCAAACAGGAUUAGAUACCCGUCGUA
rnacentral:rRNA from 1 species